GCACGUGGUACCCUCAGUCAGAGACUGGCCCUUGCGGGUGAGAGUGAGGCCGGGGAGCGACCAUGGCGUCGCUGAAUAGUAGCGCUGUCGUCUGCGUGAUUUGCUUGGAGAAACCCAAAUACCGCUGCCCCGCCUGCCGCGUGCCCUAAGCAGUACAACUCUAAAACUCUUAUUGAGAAAAGAUCAGCUGUUACUGCAAAAACUAUAAAGCCUGCAGAAGACAAAGGUGGAUUGGUUGAUUUCAAACCAGCCAACCUAGGAAAAGGUUUCAGAUGAUGAUGACUCUAUAGAUGAUUUUCUCAAUAGUGAUGAGGAAAAGGACAGUUUCUUUGCAGAAUUUCAAGAAUUUAGGGGAGUCUGCAGCAUUAAGAAGCCUACUGUUCAGGGGUGCCUGGGUGGUUCAGUCGGUUAAGUGGAAUCGCAAGUGCCCCGGUGCAGUGAUGAACCACACCAGUGAGUCGGAUCUAUGAAGUAGGGGAUUUUUGGCCUGCCUCCUUCCAAACGGGCUUGCUGGCUCCUCCCCAACUGGAUCACUCAUACAGUCAGCCACAUCUGUUGCUUCUCUGACUCCACAGCAUCCCCUGCUUCCUCCUGAUUUUUCUGCUCCCCUUCACCUCAACACUUAAACAGCCGAUGACACCCUGAAUGUAAGCCCCAAGAGGCAGAGGCUCACCUUCCUUAUUCACUGAUGCUAGCAACAGUGCCUGGUGCAAAACAGUACACAGAAAGGGAAUGGAUAAAUGAACAAGUGAAAUCUCUUGAGUUCCAGGUUGACUUCUGCAGACCUGCCUCUUUCUCUUCACCUCCACAUCCUGCUCUGGGCUGGGCAGGUCUUGUCAUGCCAGAGUCCCAAGCUCCACCCCAACACUGGCCCUGCCCACUGUGGGGCCUGGCCCACUUACCGGAUGGGGAAGCCAGCGGCACUGAUGUGAAUGGUCUCCACAAGGCCACAGGCCUCCAGCUGACUGAGGACCUGCAUUGGUGAGGAGACAGGGUGGGCACCUGUGGUGUGGGACCAGCAGACCAGAAAUACCACUCCUUCUGCCCUCUGAGGCUCUGGUCCGUGUGAACCUGCAGGCUGUCCUCAUGCUUGACUGAUGAGGGUAUACUCUCCUGCUUCUGAUACUGUGGAGUUCUCCUGAGGCUGGAGCUGUUUCAGGGGAGAGGAGGGGCCCUCACAGACAAAACACCAUCUGAGUCUGCCUGGAGAGCUACAGAUGGCUCAGAUGUGGGCACCGAGAACACAGAGACACCCUUGCCCAGACACUGGUGGACAAUGAGGAGAUGGGGGUGCAGAGAAGGGAAAAGAGCUGCCUGGAGUUGCACACUGGACUGGACUGUUUUUUCGAAGGAGUGCUCCUGAAAGGGUGAGCCCCUGCUACCUAUGAAAGUGGUCCAGGAGUCAGGGUCUGCACAGAUGCUGCUAUUGAUCACGGAUACCAGCCAGUCAAACAGCCUGUUGGGGUGGGGGUGGAGGGAGAGAGGACUCUGGUGAGAGGUCAGGUAAGCCUGAGGGAUAGCAAAACUGCUCCUCCAGCCAGGGUGCCACACUCUGAAGGGCCUGUAUUCCCAGCCAGACAGGCCAAAGGAUCAAACCCUUUCCUCCCAUUUGCUGCCCAUCCCAUUUUGCCCCACUACGAAUGCAGGCUUGUGGUCAUGCAUGUUCCUAGGAUGCACAAACCCGGCCUGUCCUCCCAACAAGACUGAACACACGACCGGUAGACUCUGGGGCUAGACAGGGAAUGGGACUCCAUCAGUCACUUGGCCGGACACCCAGCUAGUGUCUUAACUGGAAGGGAAGGGGUGAACGGGAAGGCCUAGGUGGAGUUUGCAAAGAACUGAGUUCACUGGACACCCCUGAAAACUGGACCUGUGGCACCUAGAGCUCAAGACCCUGCCACAUCCCUUAGUCCUGCAUAAGCAGGCCCCGAGUCACCUGAGGCCAAGGGGUACUCUGCACUCUGGAGCACCCCACCCUGAGACGGUGAGGCAGUUACUAUGCUGGUGACAUGUACAAUACUAUUAAGGAAUUUCUUUCUUAUGAUUUUUCUUAAAGUGACUGCUCUGCAGUUUAUUGCAAUUCAGUCAGUUAAGCAUUUCUGCUUUUGUACCAGGGGCUCCAGAUACCUGUCUGAGGCACUGAAAACAAGUGACCUAGUGUUACAAUGAUCUGAUGUUUAUUAUGUAUGAAGUGCUCUAUGGUUAGAGGUUCACACGAUCUAUGAUCAUCAUAUUUUAUUUUACCGAUUUUACAGUGACUUGACACAGGCUUUAAAAGUCUUUGGCAUGAAAUUAGCUUCAAGGCAA